GCUCAGAGGAAUGAACCACACCAAGAAGGUAGACUCAGGCCUUAGAAAAGAGAAAAUGAGAUAUUUAAUUCAGCUGUAAAACUAUGGUUCUGGCAAAAAAGAAAAACAGUGCCUAUAAAAUAACUGUGAGUUCUAUGUCAUUGAUAACCAUGGACAAAUGUCUCAGACUGUGUUUUAAAAAAACAUGAUUUUCCCACAAUGGUAGACCUAAUCACCUAGACUUUUAUAGCUAGGUGAAGUUAGAGAGCACAUGGACUCAGUGGAGUUUGUCCUAAAUGCAGAGGUUGACAGUGAUGGGAGCAGUGAGUGGAAAUCAGGAAGUGAUCAGACAGGGCUAGAAAGACUUGGGAGUUCUCAUAUUGAUUGGAAGGUUCCAAGGAGUGUUGUUGAGGAGGAAGUAGGUAGCUGUAGAAUGCCAACAAACAUUUUGAAUCAAACUGGACAUACCACUAAUGCAAAAUGAAAAGGCCAAGAGAGGUUAAAACCAACAGAAGUUGUGGCUCACCCUUUAUAAUGGAGCCAGGGCAGGAAAGCAAAAGGCAGAAUUCAGGGUUUCCAAAGUGGGAGGUGGUAACGUAUCUCCAGGUUAAGCAAGGAAUGUUAGGCAGAUUUUCAAAGACUAAGCAGAGUUCUCUUCAUAAGAGAAGCAAGUCAGUAAGUAACCCAGCCUUUAUUUAGUGAAGAAACAACUUCACUAAUUUAGAAAACAGAAGAAUAUUAAAGACAAAAAAAAAAGAGAGAGAGAGAGAAAGUAGUAGGACUAUCACAUAGUUUAUUAUAAAAUCAGAAAAUUUGAGUUGGGUUUAGUGGCAAAAUGAUCAGAAGUUCACAGCCAACCUGGGAUACAGAGGAAGACCCUGUCUUAGAAAAAAAAAAAAAAAAAAAAAAAAAAAAGAAUGAAAGAAAAGAAAAAGGUUAAAAAAAAAAAAAGGAAAAAAUCAAAAGAAAGAAAAAAGAAAACAACAAAAAAAGAAAAAGACAAAAAAAAAAAGGAACUAUGAGAAUUGAAAGAAAAGUUGGACACAGGUUGAAUUAUAAUUAAUAUGGCCUACAACAAAAAUUCACAUAGCUCCAAUGGUAAAGGAGGCUAUUUGGCUCCCUAAAAGUUUCAUCAAGUAUCAAUGAACGGGUUGGGUAAGGGGAGUAAAUGGUUACAAAGAGAUGAGUUUGUAAGUGGCACAAUCUUCAGAAACCAGUAUCUUAGAGCCAAGGAUGUUUAUAGAUUGAGCAAAGAAAGUUAUAAUCAAUGAAUAAUAGUCUGAAGAAUACUGGAGGGCACAUAUCUUUUGAACUAUAGAAGAACUAAUUUUAAAUAUGCUAGUAGAAAAAAAUUAAGGAAGCCCAAAAUUAAACAAAAUAUUGUGUGUUAUUAUGUUUGGUACCAGGCGAUACUUAAACAAAUAAAAUAAUUUGUCCAAUUCACAGAUUUAGUAUGUGGUAGGGCCAGAAUUAAAAUUAUUACCUUUAUCUAUUAAACCCAUAUUCCUUUCUAAUAUGCUUUAUUAUUUUCAAGUUGAAAGAAAUCAUAAAUAAGAAUUUCUAUAUUUUCCUUGAGACUGUAAGGAAAAAUAUUUUUUCUGAGAUAAGAUAUGUUUUAGAAGUGACACGAUUCUGAAGUGACUGGUAAUUGUUAGAAUAUCUGCAAUGGGGAAAAGUUCAAUGUUAAAGAAAAGACAGACAGGAGGAUGGGCUCCAUUACCACCUCUGUCCUGGUAUUUCAUAUCGUUCAUUGCACAGUAGAGCUGAGAUUGGCUACAGGCUAAAAUUCAUGAAUUCUAAUAAAAAUAAAGAAUAGAAAGAAGAAAGCAUAUGGUAGGUCAAACACAAAAGUGAUGAAACAAGAUUGGAGUUUAUAGCCACAUUAUGCCACUGAUCAGAAAACCCUCUAAAUCUAACAUAAAGAAACAUCUCUAAUUGCCAAAUUUUCACAAACAAAAGCCAAAUAGUCCAUAGCCAGCAGAGCAAACAUUCAAACCUCUGGGCUAAUAACAUGUAAGAUCUGUUUUAAGAAGUUACCUCUCAGUGAAGAGAGCUGAGGUGAUGAUCUAUUCUCCCUCUCUUGGUGGAAGUGUUUAAUGUUACUAUUGUUUCCCUAUAUGUAACUGCUGUAAUUUCAAUAUCGUUGUUUUGUGUAUUUUGGUAUUGUAAAACUGUACUUAUUCUUUUAAUCCCAUUCCCUGGGGUGUGGGUCCCCUGAGUUAUCUAAUAUCAGAGUCCACCUGAGGAGCUAGUAUUGAGUAUAUACUGAGGAGCUAGUAAUCUCAACUGGGAAGGGCUGGAGUUUUCAAUGGGUUCAGAUUUGCUUCCUAUUGUAAUUAAGUGUAAAUUAAUGGCAUCCCUUAAAAAUUAAUAACACACAAGUUUAGUGAGAAGUACAGUGAUUGUGGAAGAAUUCUGAAGCAAUGAAAGAUGGCUAUUGGAAAAAACAGAGUCUCCCAGGAUGAUAGCAAAGACAUAGAGCUGCAUUAAGGCUGGACCCAGAUAUAAAUUUGGAACAGUAGCAAACAAAACUAGCUUUACUUGAGAGAACAGAAAGUUUAAAUACUGUCUAGCAUAUAUAUCAGAAGACCAGAGAAUAAAGUGAAACCACAAGGAAAUGGAAGUUGAGAGGAUUUUACAAAGGAAUAAACAAAGUUAUUAAGUUUAAAGACAGAUUACCAAAAGCUCAAAGGAGAAAUGUCAGAGUCCAGAUAGGAAAGUGCCUUCCUUCCCACCCAGGGUUACAGUUACAGAUCCAAGUGGCUGUACAACACAAACAGUUCCACUGGAUCAAAGGGAACAUCCUGGGAUUCAGACUCAGCAAUGGUGCCAACAUGAAUCUACCUCGUGCCAGAGUCUGAGUAGCCUAGUCUAGCACCCAACCCAGCUAAGAUUGGUCAGCAGUUCCCAUGAGUGAACCCUGAAGAAGGGAGUUAGGAGAAGAGGCUAUAAAUCAGAACACGCCCUCAGUGUAACUGAAUGAUGACCAGGGAACUAUUUACUAGUCCUUUUAUGAUCUCUUGUAAUUCUGUAACUUCUCUGAUGUUUGUUAAUAUUGUUAAUUUCUGUAUUUCAUGUACUUACAAGUAGUAAAAACUUUAAAUAUUAAUGGUC
rnacentral:lncRNA from 1 species